AAAACGACAGUCUUAGUUCGGAUUGUAGGCUGCAACUCGCCUACAUGAAGUCGGAAUUGCUAGUAAUCGCGGAUCAGCAUGCCGCGGUGAAUACGUUCCCGGGCCUUGUACACACCGCCCGUCACACCAUGGGAGUCGGUAACACCCGAAGCCUGUAGUCUAACCGCAAGGAGGACGCAGUCGAAGGUGGGGAUUGAUGACUGGGGUGAAGUCGUAACAAGGUAGC
rnacentral:rRNA from 1 species